GGAAGCUCGCGCAGAGGUCGGAGAGGGUGAAGUCCGUGGAUCUGCAUACGACAUAGCCAUGUUCCUCGCAUGGUCACUCUCGUCAAUUGAUUCGUGUUCUUGCCUCUCUGAUGCCACAUGAGGACAAGGACGUGGCUGACCGGCUCUGAUUGGUGGAUGGCGCGCCGGAUCAGAGCAGUCGAGCGAGCUUUAGGGAUUUCCUGUUCCCCUGGAAGGGAUCAAAUGUGGUGCCUAAUCUACCAAUCUGUAAUUGAUGUAAUAUUAAUACCAUAAAAUAUUGAUUAUAUUGUGCACUUUCUAAUUUGGUUGCUAUUUGUUAUUGCUGGUUUAGGAAAUAUUCGUGUCCCAGAAUUAAACAAUCUUGUGCCCGAAAACCAAUUUUCAUAUUUUGCUAGCGAUAACCUCAAGGAGAAGAGCAAGUUUUGGACUGAGUCGACCAUCCGUAAAGGCCCAGAUCCUUUGGUUUUCUCUUUUAUCCGUUUUUUUGGAUUCAUGUUUGCUUGUUUCAUGAUAUGCUUAUGUUUUGUACCACAUUGAUGGUUUGUGCUCAUUUAAUUUUGUAGAGUUCGAUGACUUGGAAGGUUCUGCAUUGUGCGACUCUAGCAAAAAUGGCCUGCUCAACUUCAUAAUAGCUGGAUACUGCUAGAUCAGAUGCAAUUUGGGCAAUAUCGGAUCAUUUUUAGAAAGUGUUCGGAGAUCAACCAUGGCUAAUGGCUUCAUUCGUGAUUCUAAGAUUCUCUUUAUAUUUUUUACAUUUUUCUAUCAUUGAUGAAAAUAGAGGUUUUGAUACAAAUAAUUCACUCUACCUACUUUAAUUUGAGAUCUAAAUGUUUUUAUUCUCUGUUGUUUAUUUCUUGUUCAUUAAAAAUAGAGAGUAGAGUUAUCUCUUUGAAGUACUGAACAUAUCACUUGCCUUUUUGCUUUUUCUGGAAUCCGAUGCAAUUUGGGCAAUACCAGACCAUUUUGAUUUUAAUCCAUUUCUGCACCAAUAAUAUUUUUUCCCUAACAGUGAUGCCUUUUUACCUUGUAAUCUGAAGUCUCAUUUUGAAGAGAAUCCAAGGGACACGGGUAACAUUUACAUGUUUUUGUGUAGAAUAUCUUUGUUUGUAGGCAACUUGUCUAAUCAAUACUUGUCUCACAGCAUGUGGACUGCAUAUCACUUACCUUUUCACUUCUUCUGGAAUCCGAUGCAAUUUGAGCAAUAUCAGAUCAUUUUGAUUUUAAUCCAUUUCUACACCAAUAAUAUUUUUUUCUAAUAGUGAUGCCUUUUUUACGUUGUUGAUUGAAGUCUCAUUUUGGUUCAAUGGAGGAACCCGAACAUCUUGAGAUGAGGGUGGAUCGCUUUUAAAAAAUUUCUCAUGUUGCAGGUGCGGCGUCCCCUCCAUCUCAACUCCGCCGGCUACCGCUCUUCUUGCUCUGCACCGGAGGCCUCCUUCCAGGUAAAAUCAGCCUAUUCUCGUUGGUUCGAUUUGCCCACUACUGGUGUCCUGAUGGGAUGGGGGUGGAUUGCUUUUAAAAAUUUCUUGUGAUGCAGUUGCAGGUGUAGGUGCAGCGGCUUGUCACUGGAGUUUAGGUCCAAAGUAAGUUGUCGUCUCCCACCUCUCCCUCACACCUGUUUAUAGGAAUUACUUCUAGCUGUAGUGGUGAUAUUUAGCUUAGAGUGAGAAUCGUGCUGGUGCCGUGUGGAACUCGACUCACCUCGAAAUGUUGAUGGCGAUGUUGUCUUUGGAUUAAUAAAUAGAUGAAUAUAAUAAUCGCCUUGACAACUUCUUGUAAUGUACUGGUAUUUUUCGGUAAAAAAAGAAAAAAAUCAUUAGCUCGUUCAAUCUUGAUGAUUAAACAACCUGGAGUACCUAAUGGUGCAUGCUUUCUUUUUUCUCUCUCUAGGCUAGUGUUCCCUGAUUUUGCAUUGAUUUCUGUGUGGAUGGGCAGAUUCAUGUUCGUGAUUGAGUUAGCAUUAUGUAUUGUGCACACAUCAAGCCAUGGACGAAUGUAAAUAUUUUGUUGAUUUUGUACGAACAAAAGUUUUGUUUCACCUAAAUACCUUGACCCUUACUCAUUGCAGUUACCACUAGCUAAUUUACCAAAUGACCCUUACUCAUUGCAGUUACCACUAGCUAAUUUACCAAAUGCACACAUCAAGCCAUGGACGAUGAGUCAAGUGUUAUUAUACGAUUCCGUUGCAACACACGGGCACUCACCUAGUUAAGAUAUAAGU